rnacentral:rRNA from 1 species
AUUGAACGCUGGCGGCAGGCCUAACACAUGCAAGUCGAACGAGUGGCGGACGGGUGAGUAAUGUCUGGGAAACUGCCUGAUGGAGGGGGAUAACUACUGGAAACGGUAGCUAAUACCGCAUACCAUCGGAUGAGCCCAGAUGGGAUUAGCUAGUAGGUGGGGUAAAGGCUCACCUAGGCGACGAUCUCUAGCUGGUCUGAGAGGAUGACCAGCCACACUGGAACUGCGAAACGGUCCAGACUCCUACGGUAGGCAGCAGUGGGGAAGAUUGCACAGUGGGCGCAAGCCUGAUGCAGCCAUGCCGCGUGUAGGAAGAAGGCCUUCGGGGUGUAAAGUACUUUCAGCGGGGAGGCGUUACCCGAAGAAGAAGCACCGGCUAACUCCGUGCCAGCAGCCGCGGUAAUAC